rnacentral:rRNA from 1 species
GGGCCCGCACAAGCGGAGGAACAUGUGGUUUAAUUCGAUGAUACGCGAGGAACCUUACCCGGGUUUGAACGCAGUGGGAAUGGUCCCGAAAGGGGUCAGCUAGCAAUAGACCGCUGCGAGGUGCUGCAUGGUUGUCGUCAGCUCGUGCCGUGAGGUGUCGGCUUAAGUGCCAUAACGAGCGCAACCCUUAUCGUCAGUUACUAACAGGCAAAGCUGAGGACUCCGGCGAGACUGCCAGCGUAAGCUGUGAGGAAGGUGGGGAUGACGUCAAAUCAGCACGGCCCUUACACCCGGGGCGACACACGUGUUACAAUGGUGGGGACAGAGGGAAGCCACUCGGCGACGAGGCGCGGAUCCCAAAACCCCAUCUCAGUUCGGAUCGGAGUCUGCAACUCGACUCCGUGAAGCUGGAUUCGCUAGUAAUCGCGCAUCAGCCAUGGCGCGGUGAAUACGUUCCCGGGCCUU